AAGUCGUAACAAGGUUUCCGUAGGUGAACCUGCGGAAGGAUCAUUACCAUGGCGCAGAAGGUGGUGGACAUACUGGUAACCCCCAGGAGUGUUAACCCCUUCACGCUCUUCUACCCUUGUCUAUUUGCACCCUUUGUCGUUCCCUCGGCGGGUCUUUGAACCUGCCGGCGGCAACUUUCAAAACCUCUUGCAGUAGUAUCUAAUUCUUCUGAAUCAAAUAUCAAAUUAUUACAACUUUCAACAAUGGAUCUCUUGGUUCUG
rnacentral:misc_RNA from 1 species